UCAGCCGCAAAUUACAAGUGCCAUUAUAAACAGAAACUGUAAGGAUAAUGCAAUUGAAUUGAGAUCUCAGACAUCCAAGGAAGGAUAAAAGCAGCAUACGCUCUCAAGCCUGGCGUAGGCGAAAGCACUUAGGCGGCCACUGCGAAUGUUUUGAGAAACAAG